rnacentral:tRNA from 1 species
CGAAGGUGGCGGAAUUGGUAGACGCGCUAGCUUCAGGUGUUAGUGUCCUUAGGAUGUGGGGGUUCGAGUCCCCCCCGUCG